GCUCAGUAGCAUCCAAGGCCAGGGGAGGAGAUGGGGUCCCAGGCUCAGCUCCUCUGCUCUCUGCUGCUCUGGAUCUCAGGUUCCAGGGGGGACAUUGUGGUGACUCAGUCUCCAGAAUUUUUGUCAGUGUCUCCAGGAGAGAGGGUCACCAUUAGCUGCAAGACCAGCUCGGGUGUUAGUAAUUACUUAAAUUGGUACCAACAGAAGCCAGGGAAGGCUCCCAAGCUCCUAAUUUAUGCAGCAACCACCCUGCACUCUGGGGUCCCUGCCCGGUUCAGUGGCAGUGGCUCUGGGACAGAUUUCUCCCUCACAAUCAGCAAAGUGGAGGCUGAGGACGCUGCGGUCUAUCACUGUCAGCAGUGGGAUAGCUGGCCUCCCACAGUGAUACACCCCCAAACAAAAACCUGCCCAGCAACUGCUGAAGAGGCAUCAAUGCCCCAGGGGCUUCUCUUUCCCCAGAGCAAGGAUGGGGACAGCUUGUUUGGUCUGCCUGGGAGGGGGGAGGUUUUCAUGUCUCAGAGGAAGAUACUGGGGCUGUGACAAGUUCUGACCUUGAUUUCUUUUCCAGUCACUAAUAAA